UCCCGACCUCUCUCUCGUCCUCUCUCUGCCAUCACCGGAAAACCUCAUCUCCGGCCAUCACCUGUUGUUACCACCACCACCCAUCAACGCAGCACCAAAAUGCAACCCAAACCCAAGAGAAAUCGAAGCCAUGCAUCGACUCUGACCUCUCUUCCGCUCUCCUUCUCUCUGCCAUCACCGGGAAACCCAGCUUCCGGUCACCACCUCACGUCACCGCCACUAUCAUUCGAACCAGCACCCAAAUCCGAUCAAAGCCCAGCCAUUCUACCGCCGAUCGAAAGCUCCUAACCACCACAUGCAUGCACGGAAAGCUACGACGCCACUACCCCUUCCCUUUCGUCGAUUUCCGACCAUCACCUCGCCAUACCAACACCACCGUCUGACUCAGCUAGCAACGAGGAGCGAAAACCCAGAAGUAUAAACACCCACCAAAGCCGGACAACGCCAUACGAGCUUCGCCGGAAUUCAUAGCUAUGCGUCCCCUCGUUUUCCAGUCUCCGGUAAAAUUUAGGCUACACGACUAUCAUAGAUGGAAACAGCACGCCUACUUGUACCAGAAUCCCAUGGUUUCGAUCUCCGGUUCCGACCAAAGACGCUGCACGCGCCGCCGUGAACCUUGCCGGCGUAGUUCUAUCGUUCCGGUAAGCCAUACUCGAAGCCCCUUUCGUUAUUUGGUUGAAUUUCAGCUCCAAAGUAGUGAAUAUUGAUGUUCAAUUCUUUUGGUGGUUGUUCUUGAAUCUCGGACUUGGAGGAUGGGAAUUGAAUGAAAGGGGAGCUUCUGGUCUUGGUUUUGAUUUCAGUUUUGAUGGGAUGAUGAAGAAUCCACAAGGACUGCAAGGAGCAGUAUGUUAUGGAGUGGUUGUGGUUUCGGCAGAACUGAUAUAGGAUGGAGACUUGAGGUUCGAGGAAUCUGCGUUUUUGAAGAUUUUGGAGAAGAGAAGUGUUCGGUCAGUUUCCAUUGAAAAUGGAUUGAGGAAUUCGAGUAAAGAUGAUGGGAAUGCAGCUAUGGUGACUCAAAUCUCCGUUUGGAAAAGAAGAAAUGGUAAGUGUUGGUCCCUGCCAAAUCGUGGGUUUUGGUGUGGUGAUUGUAAAAUCCUAGUGGUUGUUAUCGAAUGGAAUGAAAAGUUGGUAUGCUGCUUGAAUGGUUAAUGCUCCUUUGAGUGAUUGAUUGUUGAGAAAUUAGCUUAAAUGUGGACAAGCAUGCAAUGGCUAAAUGUGUGGAGAAGAUUAAUGUUGUUAGUUAAAAUGAUGACGGAGUUUGAAUUUGACAUAUUGUAAGGUAAAUGGUUGUUGUGAAAGAAAAUAAGGAGCUUGAGUAAUUAUCAAUGUUGAGUGGGAUUCGGAAAUGAAAAUGGUGGAUUUCAUAUGAUUAA